CUUUAUUGGAGAGUUUGAUCCUGGCUCAGGAUGAACGCUGGCGGCGUGCCUAAUACAUGCAAGUCGAGCGAAUGGAUUGAGAGCUUGCUCUCAAGAAGUUAGCGGCGGACGGGUGAGUAACACGUGGGUAACCUGCCCAUAAGACUGGGAUAACUCCGGGAAACCGGGGCUAAUACCGGAU
rnacentral:rRNA from 1 species